GCGCCUAACACAUGCAAGUCGAACGAGAGAUGAGGAGCUUGCUCUUCAAAUCGAGUGGCGAACGGGUGAGUAACGCGUGAGGAACCUGCCUCAAAGAGGGGGACAACAGUUGGAAACGACUGCUAAUACCGCAUAAGCCCACGGCUCGGCAUCGAGCAGAGGGAAAAGGAGCAAUCCGCUUUGAGAUGGCCUCGCGUCCGAUUAGCUAGUUGGUGAGGUAACGGCCCACCAAGGCGACGAUCGGUAGCCGGACUGAGAGGUUGAACGGCCACAUUGGGACUGAGACACGGCCCAGACUCCUACGGGAGGCAGCAGUGGGGAAUAUUGCACAAUGGGGGAAACCCUGAUGCAGCGACGCCGCGUGGAGGAAGAAGGUCUUCGGAUUGUAAACUCCUGUUGUUGAGGAAGAUAAUGACGGUACUCAACAAGGAAGUGACGGCUAACUACGUGCCAGCAGCCGCGGUAAAACGUAGGUCACAAGCGUUGUCCGGAAUUACUGGGUGUAAAGGGAGCGCAGGCGGGAGAACAAGUUGGAAGUGAAAUCCAUGGGCUCAACCCAUGAACUGCUUUCAAAACUGUUUUUCUUGAGUAGUGCAGAGGUAGGCGGAAUUCCCGGUGUAGCGGUGGAAUGCGUAGAUAUCGGGAGGAACACCAGUGGCGAAGGCGGCCUACUGGGCACCAACUGACGCUGAGGCUCGAAAGUGUGGGUAGCAAACAGGAUUAGAUACCCUGGUAGUCCACACCGUAAACGAUGAUUACUAGGUGUUGGAGGAUUGACCCCUUCAGUGCCGCAGUUAACACAUAAGUAAUCCACCUGGGGAGUACGACCGCAA
rnacentral:rRNA from 1 species